GACGAACGCUGGCGGCGUGCUUAACACAUGCAAGUCGAACGGAAAGGCCCUGCUUUUGUGGGGUGCUCGAGUGGCGAACGGGUGAGUAACACGUGAGUAACCUGCCCUUGACUGUGGGAUAACUUCAGGAAACUGGGGCUAAUACCGGAUAGGAGCUCCUGCUGCAUGGUGGGGGUUGGAAAGUUUCGGCGGUUGGGGAUGGACUCGCGGCUUAUCAGCUUGUUGGUGGGGUAGUGGCUUACCAAGGCUUUGACGGGUAGCCGGCCUGAGAGGGUGACCGGCCACCUUGGGACUGCGAUACGGCCCAGACUCCUACGGGAGGCAGCAGUGGGGAAUAUUGCACAAUGGGCGGAAGCCUGAUGCAGCAACGCCGCGUGCGGGAUGACGGCCUUCGGGUUGUAAACCGCUUUCGCCUGUGACGAAGCGUGAGUGACGGUAAUGGGUAAAGAAGCACCGGCUAACUACGUG
rnacentral:rRNA from 1 species